ACUGGAGGAAUUAUGUGCAGACAAACACAUAUUUCAUAAAAAUAUUUGUGCGCUCGGCUAUAAUGAGAAAUCUCACAAUUGGCGCCGAUGCCAUAAAUUGCAGUGCCACACAAGUGAGAUUCACUAAUUCAAUUGAUUCUCCCUCUGAUCAUGUAAUUUUCCCUGCAAAGUGACACUAAUGGCACUUUACUACCACAUUGUGUCGUAAUUAACGUGAAUAUCCUCCAUGGAAUAGUCAAAACAUUAAAAUUUUUAUCGCUCCCACACACUAAUUGUGCCGACAGAGCGAAAUCUUGAAAGAAAAUUGUGCUUAUAUCGAUUUAACGAACGUUUCCUUCAAUUAUUUCCCAGCCAUAAGUGUUUGUUCCUAAUUGGAUGAUUAUAAGGUGAAUCAUAAUCGUUCUGGAAAUUGUGUAAAAAAAAAUUAAUUGACUUUCAUCAGUGGAAGGAUAAAGUUUCCUCGUGUUGUAAAAAAAUAAAUGGACUCGCAGUGAACUUUCCACGCUGAGCAAUUUUCUCGUCUGUUUCACCGAUAAUUUUUAUGCGUAAUUGCUGGAAAGAGGCUGAAUUUUUUCUCCUGGCGGCCACCAAAGAAUCUCCAUUCUUUCAUCUUACCGACUAAAGAAUACAGUGACACAAGAUGAAGCAGAAGGUGGCAAUCGAAGGACGGAAGAAAUUCUCGACGGUCCAGAUGGAAUAAUUUAUAAAGCGUCAAAUCAAAUUACCGACUCCACAAGAGUCACCACAAAUAGAUGAGAUUUUGAUCAGCAGAAUCAUCAUUAGAAUUACAAAAUUGGAAAGAGAGAAGGUGAGAAGAUUAUUCCAAUAAAAUGGGCACGGCGACACAAAUUGAUGAGAAGGAACUUCUCGAAUCGAUUGAUGAGGAACUGAGUGAAAUUCCAAACUCACGCACAGAUGAAGUGAGAGCUCUGCUUACACGUCUCUAUUAUGAAUGCAUGAAAACCGACAAGAAUACAUCGGAAUAUAAAAAUAAAGCAGGAAAUCCAUCGCAUGGUCUUCAGUGUCCC